UAAUACGGGGGGUGCAAGCGUUGUUCGGAAUUAUUGGGCGUAAAGAGCGUGUAGGCGGCUUGGUAAGUCAGAUGUGAAAGCCCUGGGCUUAACCCAGGAAGUGCAUUUGAAACUGCCAGGCUUGAGUAGGGGAGAGGGAAGUGGAAUUCCUGGUGUAGAGGUGAAAUUCGUAGAUAUCAGGAGGAACACCGGUGGCGAAGGCGACUUCCUGGCCCUAUACUGACGCUGAGACGCGAGAGCGUGGGUAGCAAACAGGAUUAGAUACCCUGGUAGUCCACGCCGUAAACGAUGUUCACUAGGUGUUGGGGGUAUUGACCCUCUCAGUGCCGGAGCUAACGCAUUAAGUGAACCGCCUGGGGAGUACGGUCGCAAGACUAAAACUUAAAUGAAUUGACGG
rnacentral:rRNA from 1 species